AUUGAACGCUGGCGGCAUGCCUUACACAUGCAAGUCGAACGGCAGCACGGGAGCAAUCCUGGUGGCGAGUGGCGAACGGGUGAGUAAAGUAUCGGAACGUGCCCAGGCGUGGGGGAUAACGUAGCGAAAGUUACGCUAAUACCGCAUACGAUCUAUGGAUGAAAGCGGGGGAUCGCAAGACCUCGAGCGAUUGGAGCGGCCGAUAUCAGAUUAGGUAGUUGGUGGGGUAAAGGCUCACCAAGCCGACGAUCUGUAGCUGGUCUGAGAGUACGACCAGCCACACUGGGACUGAGACACGGCCCAGACUCCUACGGGAGGCAGCAGUGGGGAAUUUUGGACAAUGGGCGAAAGCCUGAUCCAGCCAUGCCGCGUGCAGGAUGAAGGCCUUCGGGUUGUAAACUGCUUUUGUACGUAACGAAAAGGUUUGGCCUAAUAAGCUGAGCUCAUGACGGUACCGUAAGAAUAAGCACCGGCUAACUACGUGCCAGCCGCCGCCGUGA
rnacentral:rRNA from 1 species